AUUGAACGCUGGCGGAAUGCUUUACACAUGCAAGUCGGGCGGCAGCACGGGGGCAACCCUGGUGGCGAGCGGCGAACGGGUGAGUAACACAUCGGAACGUACCCUGUCGUGGGGGAUAACGAGUCGAAAGAUUCGCUAAUACCGCAUACGACCCGAGGGUGAAAGCGGGGGAUCGCAAGACCUCGCGCGACUGGAGCGGCCGAUGGCGGAUUAGCUAGUUGGUGGGGUAAAGGCCCACCAAGGCGACGAUCCGUAGCGGGUCUGAGAGGACGGCCCGCCACACUGGGACUGAGACACGGCCCAGACUCCUACGGGAGGCAGCAGUGGGGAAUUUUUGGACAAUGGGGGCAACCCUGAUCCAGCCAUGCCGCGUGAGUGAAGAAGGCCUGCGGGUUGUAAAGCACUUCGUUGGGAAGAAAUUUACUCAGCUAACACCUGAGGAAUUUGACAUUACCUUCAGAAGAAGCACCGGCUAACUCCGUGCCAG
rnacentral:rRNA from 1 species